rnacentral:lncRNA from 1 species
UUUUCUUCUCUCUCUCUCUAACACAAGCUCUCGCACUCACUCUCUCUCUCUCUAAAAAACUACUGCACUCACUCCCCCUCUCUCUCUCUCAAAAUCUCUGUACGGUGGUGGAUUGUGGUGGGGUGUGACGGUGAUGGUGGGUUUAGCAGUGGUGGGUGCGAUGGUGAUGGUGGGUAGCGGUGGUGGGUAGCGGUGGUGGGAGGUGUACGGUGGUGGGUGCAAUGGUGAUGAUGGGUGGCGUUGGUGGGAGGUGUACGGUGGCGGGUUUUGGUGGUGGAGGUGGUUUUAGGGGCGGUUGAUUUAGGGUUUUUGGUUGGUGAGUUGAUUUGGAAUUCUAGAUCGGUUGAUUUGGGCUCAAGAAUUGGGGGUGGGGGGGAGUCAGUGGAAUUGGAUGGGAGGUUUUAGGAUCUGAAAUAGUGUUGUUUUCAAUCUGUGUCUGUGUGCAACAAUCCACCGAAAAAAGUAAAGGAUGAAAGUGCUAUGAUGAUCUUUGAGAUGGAGGAGAUGCUCGAGCCGAUAUUUGAAGACCGCGUUCAUGGUGGGAUGAUGUCCCCGAUCUGUGGAAGCUAGGGGUGAGCAAGAAAACCGAAAUAACCGAACCGUAACCGAAUAACCGAAAUAACCGAACCGAAAAAACCGAACCGAAACAAAAACCGACGGUUCGGUUUUCGGAUUUUUAAUAACCGAAAAUUUCGGUUCGGUUUUCGGAUAAGCUUUUUCAAUAACCGAAAAAAACCGAACCGAACCGAUAAGUUAUAAUCCAUAUUUUUUGUGUUUAAGUUUAAAUUGUUUAAGUGUUUAACCUAAUGCUAGUAGAAAACGUUAAUUCUAUUCUUGAAUGUUAAGUGUUUAUAAUAAAAACAUUAUAACUGAAAUGAUUUAUUAUUACCUAUAAGAUAUAACAAAAUUUAAUAUAAAAAUUAAAUAUAAUAAAAAGUUUGAAGAAACAUAAAAAUAGAUUAGAAGGUUAGGUGUAUGUAAACAACAUUAACUAAAGAGGUUAACUAUAAUAACUUAAAUGUAAACAUAUAAAAAGAUUGUUAUAAUAUAUAUUAUACUUUUUAUUUUUUGAAUCUUACAUAAUUUUGUUCCAAAAACCGAAAUAACCGAAAAACCGAACCGAACCGACGUAAAAACCGAAAAAAAACCGAAACCGAACGGUUUUUAAAACCCAAAAACCGACAUUUCGGUUUCGGUUUUGAUUUUACCCAAAAACCGAACCGAACCGAACCGUGCACACCCCUAGUGGAAGCCCGGGUUCUCCAAAGUUGUCACCAUAAAGGUCAAAGUAGUGUGAUUCUGUCGUUGGCUGUUUUUGCAAAAACUAUGUCCUAGUAGUGGUCGUUAACUAGUUAAAGUUGAAUGGUGUUGAUUUUGUAAUAGUGGAGUGAUAUGCUCUUGGCUAAUAACGGCUGA